rnacentral:misc_RNA from 1 species
AAGUGCAAUGGGCAAGAAAUAGUUUAGUUCUAGUUUAACACCUCUGACGUGAUUUAGGCCAUUGUCCAUAUCAUGUUAUGUUUAUGCUUCCUACCUGCCCUCUCAAUAUGUGUGUUUGUGUCUAUGCUAGUGGCCUUUAUGGUAUGACAACUUAGUUGCAGCUUCCUCUGAUGUAGUUCACCAAAGAGAUUCAAUUUCUCUCAGGGAAUGGAAAUGAAUCCAUAUUUUGGAUUUACACUUUUAACAUAUAGGAGGAAAAACAAAGCUGAAAAAAGGGAGGGAAUGAUCAAGGAUAAGCAACUUGCAAAUUGAUGCUAAAAUCAGCUGUGGCAUGUUGCUGGUUGCAGAAUUUAUUAUCCCUGUUGGAUCUGUUUCAUGGA